GAUGAACGCUGGCGGCGUGCUUAACACAUGCAAGUCGAACGAAGUGGCGAACGGGUGAGUAACGCCUAAUCAACCUGCCCUUCAGCGGGGGUCAACAGUUGGAAACGACUGCUAAUACCGCAUACUGAUGCAGGGGCCUGCGUCUGAUUAGCUCGUUGGAGGGGUAACGGCCCACCAAGGCGAUGAUCAGUAGCCGGUCUGGGAGGAUGAACGGCCACAUUGGGACUGAGACACGGCCCCGAUUCCUACGGGAGGGAGCAGUGGGGAAUCUUCCGCAAUGGAGGAAAGUCUGACGGAGCAACGCCGCGGGAGUGAUGACGGCCUUCGGGUUGUAAAGCUAUGUUAAUCGGGACGCGGUACCGGAAUAGAAAGCCACGGCUAACUACGUGCCAGCCGCCGCGGUAAUAC
rnacentral:rRNA from 1 species